rnacentral:rRNA from 1 species
AUGGAUCAGGCUAGUUAUUCAUAUACCGAGCAUGGUUUUGAACAAGCAAUGGAAGGCAUGAAAAGAGAGCGUGAGGCAGCUUGGAAAUGGCUUAGAAAGAUACCCAAGCAUACAUGGGCUAGACAUGCCAUGGACAAGAAUUGUAAAACUGAUUUGGUUGUUAACAAUAUUAGUGAAGUGUUCAACAAAAUGGUACUUGAUGUGAGAGGGAAACCAAUUAAAACCAUGGUUGAUGGCAUCAGAACAAAAUUGCUAGUUAAGUUCAAUGCCAAUAGGACCAGGACUGAGACAGCCAAGUGGCAGAUAUGCCCAACAUAUGCUGAGAAGCUAGAAGAAGCAAAACACCAUGCUAGAUAUUGUCAGUCAAUCAAAGUAGGACCUGAUCUAUACCAGGUUAGCAGUGGAGAAAGCAGAUAUGCAGUUAAUCUGCAAGUGCACACAUGUGGGUGUAGCAAAUGGGACAUGACUGGUGUUCCUUGCAAGCAUGGUGUUUCUGCAAUUACAAGGCAAAACUUCAUCCAGAAGAUUUUGUUAGUGAUUUCUUCAAGAAACCAAUGUACCAAGCAGCCUACAAUCCAAUUGUGUAUCCUGUGUCUGGGCCUAAUCUAUGGCCAAAUACUGGGACCCCUGACAUAG